GAUGAAGAACGCAGCGAAAUGCGAUACGUAAUGUGAAUUGCAGAAUUCAGUGAAUCAUGGAAUCUUUGAACGCACAUUGCGCCCGCUAGUAUUCUGGCGGGCAUGCCUGUCCGAGCGUCAUUUCAACCCAUCAAGCUUAGCGCUUGUGUUGGAGCCCUGCGGCCGCCGCAGCCUCCUAAAAUCAGUGGCGGGCUCGCUAUCACGCUGAGUGCAGUAGUAUUCUUCUCACUCCUGUGGUGUAGCGGGUAACCAGCCGUAAACCCCCCCAUCUAUAAAGGUUGACCUCGGAUCAGGUAGGAAUACCCGCUGAACUUAAGCAUAUCAAUAAGCGGAGGA
rnacentral:misc_RNA from 1 species